rnacentral:rRNA from 1 species
GACGAACGCUGGCGGCGUGCUUAACACAUGCAAGUCGAACGGAAAGACCCUGCUUUUGUGGGGUGCUCGAGUGGCGAACGGGUGAGUAACACGUGAGUAACCUGCCCUUGACUUUGGGAUAACUUCAGGAAACUGGGGCUAAUACCGGAUAGGAGCUCCUGCUGCAUGGUGGGGGUUGGAAAGUUUCGGCGGUUGGGGAUGGACUCGCGGCUUAUCAGCUUGUUGGUGGGGUAGUGGCUUACCAAGGCUUUGACGGGUAGCCGGCCUGAGAGGGUGACCGGCCACGUGGGGACUGAGAUACGGCCCAGACUCCUACGGGAGGCAGCAGUGGGGAAUAUUGCACAAUGGGCGGAAGCCUGAUGCAGCAACGCCGCGUGCGGGAUGACGGCCUUCGGGUUGUAAACCGCUUUCGCCUGUGACGAAGCGUGAGUGACGGUAAUGGGUAAAGAAGCACCGGCUAACUACGU